CAUGGGAGGGAGGCAGAGAGAGAACUGAGGAUGGCUCCGUGUGGGCCUGCAGGUGCCCCUUGGCAUGAAUAGCCUGGGUGUCACGGAUGGCAGCAGGAGGCAUGCAGGCUCCCAAGCAAAAUGGGGCCCACCCAUGGUUGCCCAUGGACCAAUCAGGACCCACUUCCUCCCUUCUGAAGCCAGUAAAAAUCCUGGACUCAGCCAGACAUGGGCAGAUGUGGGGAUGACCUGCCUGUGGAGAGGAGGUCCUCACUUCGGGUCUCCUGAAACCUGUUCUGCUGCUCAAUAAAGCCCCUUUCUGCCUUGCUCACCC